rfam:Pseudomonas syringae strain GAW0119 contig52.1, whole genome shotgun sequence.
CGCCGGCCGACCGCGGACGUUGAACCGUGGGUAACCCGGCAGGACGCCGGGUUAGCCGCACUGGGCCAGGGAUGGCCCUUUGCGGCGGCCCACGGUUCAUGGUCUGCGGUCGGGUACAC